rnacentral:rRNA from 1 species
GAUGAACGCUGGCGGCGUGCCUAAUACAUGCAAGUCGAGCGAACGGACGAGAAGCUUGCUUCUCUGAUGUUAGCGGCGGACGGGUGAGUAACACGUGGAUAACCUACCUAUAAGACUGGGAUAACUUCGGGAAACCGGAGCUAAUACCGGAUAAUAUUUUGAACCGCAUGGUUCAAAAGUGAAAGACGGUCUUGCUGUCACUUAUAGAUGGACCCGCGCUGCAUUAGCUAGUUGGUAAGGUAACGGCUUACCAAGGCAACGAUGCAUAGCCGACCUGAGAGGGUGAUCGGCCACACUGGAACUGAGACACGGUCCAGACUCCUACGGGAGGCAGCAGUAGGGAAUCUUGCGCAAUGGGCGAAAGCCUGACGGAGCAACGCCGCGUGAGUGAUGAAGGUCUUCGGAUCGUAAAACUCUGUUAUUAGGGAAGAACAGAUGUGUAAGUAACUGUGCACAUCUUGACGGUACCUAAUGAGAAAGCCACGGCUAACUACGUG